ACUCCAUGUUUUCUAUAAGUAUUUUCCAUUAUUAUUUUUUUAAAGACAUUAUUUGACAAAGUUUACAAGUAGGCAGAGAGGCAGGUGUAGAGAGAGGGGAAACAGGCUGCCUGCUGAGCAGAGAGCCAAAUGUGGGACUUGAUCCUAGGACCCUGGGAUCAUAACCUGAGCCAAAGGCAGAGGCUUAACCCACUGAGCCACCCAGGCGCCCCUAUUAAUAUUAUUAUUAUUUUUAAGCCAACCUUAAUUGUGUAUGGUUGUUUGGUCUGGAGUUCCCUUAGCUGAAGUGCCCUUCCUUACCCUCCAGGCAAAUUCCUACUCAUGCUUCAAAACCCAAUAUCUUGUCCUCCAAGAAGCCUUCCCUAACCUGACGCCCAAGGAAUCCCCUAAGUGACCCCCUACCAUCUGGCUAAGCCUGUCCACCAUCUUUGUCUACCCCAGAUGGGGGAGGGGAAGGUUCUUGAGGCUGGAUAGAGAGGACCUGCCUUGGCCCCUUCGUAUGAGGAGUGGCCCUGGACAGACUCUGCCAGCGCUACUUUUCAAGGCCUGGCUUCUUCAGUCUCUACUGCUAUGUACUUGCUGUUCCCUCUGACCCAAUAAUUUUCCCUACCUUCUCCUUCCUCCUAGCCAGGGAGUGCUCUGGGACACCUUAGACCUGCUCUUCCAUUUGGACCAACCCUGUCCCUACCUAGUCAGGCAGGUCAAGGGGAGCCUAGCUAGAUCCACCAACCAAUCAUACACAGUGAAUUAGGGAUAACUCUCAUUCAUUCAUUCAUUCAUUCAUUCUGUAUACACUAUCUGAGCUCCUACUGUGAGCCAAGUGAUGGGGACACAUGGGAAUGACACAAAGACCCUCACCUUCCCAGCACAGGCUCUGAAGGAGGAACCUUCAAACACAAUUUCAAGGAGAAUGGUGCCCCCUCUGUGGACUGGGGGGUAUGUUUUAGAGUUGGGUAAUUGGGGUGGGGUGCCCCAGAGGUGAUGCUGAAUGAAGGAGGAGCUGGAGAUAAUUUGAAGGCCAAACAUCCCAGACUGUGGGAACAGACAAUGCAAAAGCCCUGGGGCGGCUGGCCACUUUGAUGGAGACAGCCUGUGGGGCUGGAUUGUGUGAGCCCCGGGAAGCCAGAUGGAGAGAAGGAAAGCAGGCUUCCAUGGGAGCCUGGUUAGUGUAUGCCCAGUGUAGUGGCAGUGGCCCUGGAAGAUGGGAUUGAGGGAGAAAUCGGUCACAGGCCUCAGCCUAGACCCUGAUUUUUCCACCCUUACUCUCCCAGCGGCUCCACUUUAUCUCACUUUCCAGAGCAGUCCAGGGAGGAUGCGGAACCUGCCUUGAGGUGUCGCACAGUACCGGCCCAGCUAAAAUUCAGCCCGGUCCCCAAUCCCUAUCCUAGUUUCCGAAGGAAAGCUGAAACUACCACCCGCCCCAGGCGAGAUUUGAAUCUCCUCCCCUCCGCUCCGGGGCCUCUCUCUCUCUCUCUCUCUCUCUCUCUCUCUGUCUGUCUUUCGAUCCAGCGUCGAGGUUACGCUUCUUGUUUAAAGCAAACUGCAAGUCGGUUUAAUGUUUAGUCUUUAUUUGAAGACCCAGGGACCUCAAAUUUACUUGAUAAAACGCAAAGCCCCAAAGAAAGAGAAAAAAAAAAGAGUUAAGCGGGAAGCAGAAAGGGCCAACCUCCAGAACCAUCAUUCAGCUGUUCACCACCCUCUACGGAGUACCUACUGUGUGCCCUGCCCUGUGUGCUGGGCCAGGGUUUUCCACCAUCCCUCAUCAACCCCUGAGUUGAUAGUCCAGAAUGAGACAGAAAUACCCACCAUAAAUGAAGUACGCUUUAGGCUGAUGUCACUAUUUCUCCUUUAGGUCGACCCCCUUUUCUGUUUUUACUUCAGCAAAUAUAUUUCAAAAGGGAAACUUCCAUGUCACCACCAAGAAUGGAAAACCAGUUUCUCUUGCCAUAAAUAGAAAGAAACUGAAAAACGAUGAAAUGAGAGCAAAACCCAGGAAUUCCUUCCUAAGGGAAGCUCUGGGAUGUUCAAAUAUCCAGAAAGCAUUGAAGGCAGGGAAGCCCCAAGCCAAGCCAAGAAGGACCACAGGGAUCCACCUGGUGUUUUUGUCUCUAAGGGCCUCAGCACACAGUAGGUGCUCAGUAAUGUGCCAAGCCUUGGCAGUGAGCACCUACAACACAUGGGGUUUGCCUGCAUCCCAUAGCAUGCUUCUGGGGGCCUUUAAGUUUACUGACCCAUUCUCUGGGACAAAUGAUGGUGGUGGCGCCAGGUAGCAGCUCCUUGUAGGGGGAACCCCCACAGGGCCUCUCUGGGGAGACUUCGGGUUGGUUCAGUUAAGUAGAAGCUCCUGCUUCCUCCUCAAGACCUUGGGGGUGUCCCCACCCACAGUCCUGUGUCCCCUGACAGCCUUCUGCAAUGAGCUGUGGGCCCUUGACGUCCUGCCCAGGCUGCCCAGGGAUUGGGGAGGGGAAAAUGUGUGAAUCAGUAAGUAUGAAUUAAAUAAGUAAAGGAA